rnacentral:rRNA from 1 species
CCAGACUCCUACGGGAGGCAGCAGUGGGGAAUAUUGCACAAUGGGGGAAACCCUGAUGCAGCAACGCCGCGUGAAGGAAGACGGUUUUCGGAUUGUAAACUUCUGUUCUUAGUGAAGAAGAAUGACGGUAGCUAAGGAGCAAGCCACGGCUAACUACGUGCCAGCAGCCGCGGUAAUACGUAGGUGGCAAGCGUUGUCCGGAUUUACUGGGUGUAAAGGGCGUGCAGCCGGAGAGACAAGUCAGAUGUGAAAUCCACAGGCUCAACCUGUGAACUGCAUUUGAAACUGUUUCCCUUGAGUAUCGGAGAGGUCAUCGGAAUUCCUAGUGUAGCGGUGAAAUGCGUAGAUAUUAGGAAGAACACCAGUGGCGAAGGCGGAUGACUGGACGACAACUGACGGUGAGGCGCGAAAGCGUGGGGAGCGAACAGGAUUAGAUACCCGAGUAC